rnacentral:rRNA from 1 species
CACGUAGGGUGCGAGCGUUGUCCGGAAUUAUUGGGCGUAAAGAGCUCGUAGGCGGUGUGUCGCGUCGGCCGUGAAAACCUGCAGCUUAACUGUGGGCGUGCGGUCGAUACGGGCAUCACUGGAGUUCGGCAGGGGAGACUGGAAUUCCUGGUGUAGCGGUGAAAUGCGCAGAUAUCAGGAGGAACACCGGUGGCGAAGGCGGUUCUCUGGGCAUGUCCUGACGCUGGAGGAGCGGAAAAGUGUGGGGAGCGAACAGG